GACGAACGCUGGCGGCGUGCUUAACACAUGCAAGUCGAACGGUGAAGCGCCUUCCUUUUUGGUGGGUGUGGAUGAGUGGCGAACGGGUGAGUAACACGUGAGUAACCUGCCCCCUUCUUCUGGAUAACCGCAUGAAAGUGUGGCUAAUACGGGAUAUUCUGGGUCUGUCGCAUGAUGGGUCUGGGAAAGAUAUUGUUUCGGUGGGGGAUGGGCUCGCGGCCUAUCAGCUUGUUGGUGGGGUGAUGGCCUACCAAGGCGGGGACCGGUAGCCGGCCUGGGAGGGUGGACGGUCAGAAUGGGAGUGAGGAAAAGUCAGGACUGCUACGGGGCGCAGAAGGUGGGGGUAGUGAACAAUGGGGGAAAGGCCUAAACAGCAGGGACGCGGGAGGGAUGGAGGCGUUCGGGUUGUGAACCUCUUUCGCCAGUGAAGCAGGCCUGCCUCGUAUGUGGGUGGGUUGACGGUAGCUGGAUAAGAAGCGCCGGCUAACUACGUG
rnacentral:rRNA from 1 species